rnacentral:rRNA from 1 species
UGGGGAAUUUUGGACAAUGGGCGCAAGCCUGAUCCAGCAAUGCCGCGUGCAGGAUGAAGGCCUUCGGGUUGUAAACUGCUUUUGUACGGAGCGAAAAGGUCUGCCCUAAUACGGUGGGCUCAUGACGGUACCGUAAGCAUAAGCACCGGCUAACUACGUGCCAGCAGCCGCGGUAAUACGUCGGGUGCGAGCGUUAAUCGGAAUUACUGUGCGUAAAGCGUGCGCAGGCGGUUAUAUAAGACAGAUGUGAAAUUCCAGGGCUCAACCGUGGACCUGCAUUUGAUACUGUAGGGCUAGAGUACGGUAGAGGGAGGUGGAAUGCCGAGUGUAGCAGUGAAAUGCGUAGAUAUGAGGAAGAACACCGAUGGCGAAGGCAGUCCACUGGACCUGUACUGACGCUGAGGCACGAAAGCGUGGGGAGCAAACA